rnacentral:sRNA from 1 species
GCUAGGCUAUGAUCCCGUGGAGCUAGACCCGGAGGACAUGUGCCGGAUGGCCACGGAGCAGCCCCAGACUCUGGCCACGUAUUCUGUGUCAGAUGCUGUCGCCACUUACUACCUGUACAUGAAGUACGUCCACCCAUUCAUCUUUGCUCUGUGCACCAUUAUUCCCAUGGAGCCCGACGAGGUGCUGCGGAAGGGCUCUGGCACGCUAUGUGAGGCCUUGCUGAUGGUGCAGGCCUUCCACGCCAACAUCAUCUUCCCCAACAAGCAAGAGCAGGAGUUCAAUAAGCUGACGGACGACGGACACGUGCUGGACUCUGAGACCUACGUCGGGGGCCACGUGGAGGCCCUCGAGUCUGGGGUUUUCCGCAGCGAUAUCCCUUGCCGGUUUAGGAUGGUGUGCUUCUUCCCUGGGAUUCAGAUUCUUCCCACUCUUGUGCUGUGAAUCCUGCUGCCUUUGACUUCCUGCUGCAGCGGGUUGAGAAG